rnacentral:rRNA from 1 species
GAUGAACGCUGGCGGCGUGCCUAAUACAUGCAAGUCGAGCGAACAGAUGAGAAGCUUGCUUCUCUGAUGUUAGCGGCGGACGGGUGAGUAACACGUGGGUAACCUCCCUAUAAGACUGGGAUAACUCCGGGAAACCGGGGCUAAUACCGGAUAAUAUUUUGAACCGCAUGGUCCAAUAGUGAACGACGGUUUCGGCUGUCCCUUAUAGAUGGACCCGCGCCGUAUUAGCUAGUUGGUAAGGUAACGGCUUACCAAGGCGACGAUACGUAGCCGACCUGAGAGGGUGAUCGGCCACACUGGAACUGAGACACGGUCCAGACUCCUACGGGAGGCAGCAGUAGGGAAUCUUCCGCAAUGGGCGAAAGCCUGACGGAGCAACGCCGCGUGAGUGAUGAAGGUCUUCGGAUCGUAAAACUCUGUUGUUAGGGAAGAACAAAUUUGUUAGUAACUGAACAAGUCUUGACGGUACCUAACCAGAAAGCCACGGCUAACUACGUGCCAGCAGCCGCCGUAA